AGCGAACGUUAGCGGCGGGCCUAACACAUGCAAGUCGCACGAGAAAAGGGCUUCGGCCCCGAGUACAGUGGCGGACGGGUGAGUAACACGUGGGUAAUCUGCCUUUCAGUUGGGGAUAACUGUCCGAAAGGAUAGCUAAUACCGAAUACGUCGGCGGGGACUGCGGUUCCUGUCGGGAAAGCCGACCUCUCCAUGGAAGUUGGCGCUGGAAGAUGAGCCCGCGGCCCAUCAGCUUGUUGCCGGUGUAAAAGACCACCAAGGCGAAGACGGGUAGCUGGUCUGAGAGGAUGAUCAGGCACACUGGGACUGAGACACGGCCCAGACUCCUACGGGAGGCAGCAGUGGGGAAUAUUGGGCAAUGGGCGCAAGCCUGACCCAGCCACGCCGCGUGAGUGAUGAAGGCCUUCGGGUCGUAAAGCUCUGUGGGGAGGGACGAAAAUACGCUGGCUAAUAUCCAGCGGGUUGACGGUACCUCUUUAGCAAGCACCGGCUAACUCCGUGCCAGCCGCCGCUGUAAAAC
rnacentral:rRNA from 1 species